rnacentral:rRNA from 1 species
GACAGAGGGUGCAAACGUUGUUCGGAAUUACUGGGCGUAAAGCGUGCGCAGGCGGCGCGUUAAGACAGGUGUGAAAGCCCCCGAGCUUAACUUGGGAAUUGCGCUUGUGACUGGCGUGCUGGAGUGUGGCAGAGGGAGGUGGAAUUCCACGUGUAGCAGUGAAAUGCGCAGAUAUCAGGAGGAACACCCGUGGCGAAGGCGGCUCUCUGGGACGGUACUGACGCUGAGACGCGAAAGCGUGGGGAGCGAACAGG